CCUACGGGAGGCAGCAGUGGGGAAUAUUGGGCAAUGGAGGAAACUCUGACCCAGCAACGCCGCGUGAAUGAUGAAGGUCUUCGGAUUGUAAAGUUCUUUUCUAAGGGAAGAAGAAAGUGACGGUACCUUAGGAAUAAGCCUCGGCUAACUACGUGCCAGCAGCCGCGGUAAUACGUAGGAGGCAAGCGUUAUCCGGAAUGACUGGGCGUAAGGGGUGCGUAGGUGGUUGGACAAGAUGGUAGCGUAACUCCGGGGCUCAACCUCGGCACCACUACCAAAACUGUCGGACUGGAGUGCAGGAGGGGCAGAUGGAAUUCCUAGUGUAGCGGUGGAAUGCGUAGAUAUUAGGAGGAACUCCGAUUGCGAAGGCAGCUUACUAAACUGCCACUGACAUUGAUGCUCGAAAGUGUGGGUAUCAAACAGGAUUAGAUACCCGAGUAGUC
rnacentral:rRNA from 1 species